rnacentral:rRNA from 1 species
AGUCAGUGUGAGUAGACCCGAAACCGGGUGAUCUAUCCAUGUCCAGGUUGAAGCUGCCGUAAAAGGCAAUGGAGGACCGAACCCACAUCCGUUGAAAAGGGUGGGGAUGAGGUGUGGAUAGGGGAGAAAUUCCAAUCGAACCCGGAGAUAGCUGGUUCUCCUCGAAAUAGCUUUAGGGCUAGCCUCGUAUUAGU